rnacentral:rRNA from 1 species
UACGUAGGGAGCAAGCGUUGUCCGGAAUCAUUGGGCGUAAAGCGCGCGUAGGUGGCUUCGUAAGUCCGUUGUGAAAGUCAAAGGCUCAACCUUUGAAAGCCGAUGGAUACUGCGGAGCUAGAGUACGGAAGAGGCGAGUGGAAUUCCUGGUGUAGCGGUGGAAUGCGCAGAUAUCAGGAGGAACACCAAUGGCGAAGGCAGAUCUCUGGGCCGUAACUGACGCUGAGGAGCGAAAGCAUGGGGAGCGAACAGGAUAGAU